rnacentral:rRNA from 1 species
AGAUUAAGUUAUUAAGGGCGCACGGUGGAUGCCUUGGCACUAGAAGCCGAUGAAGGACGUUACUAACGACGAUAUGCUUUGGGUAGCUGUAAGUAAGCGUUGAUCCAGAGAUUUCCGA